rnacentral:misc_RNA from 1 species
GAUGAAGAACGUAGCAAAAUGCGAUAAGUAAUGUGAAUUGCAGAAUUCAGUGAAUCAUCGAAUCUUUGAACGCACAUUGCGCCCGCCAGUAUUCUGGCGGGCAUGCCUGUUCGAGCGUCAUUUCAACCCUCAAGCACAGCUUGGUGUUGGGACUCGCGUUAAUUCGCGUUCCCCAAAUUGAUUGGCGGUCACGUCGAGCUUCCAUAGCGCAGUAGUAAAACCCUCGUUACUGGUAAUCGUCGCGGCCACGCCGUUAAACCCCAACUUCUGAAUGUUGACCUCGGAUCAGGUAGGAAUACCCGCUGAACUUAAGCAUAUCAAUAAGCGGAGGA